rnacentral:lncRNA from 1 species
CACAAGAAUCUACAGGUCGAGCAAGUCUCGUAAAUUUCACGAUUGCGAGCCACGCUUCACGCAACCGUGUUUGCGUACUUGUGUUUCAAGUUGCGUGGUCGUACGGAGAUAUAUUUACCAAAUUUAAAUAUAAUCGUUUUCAAAAUUAAAUCAAUAUGUCAUGUCAAUAUGGCUACUGGGUGUAAAAGAUAAAUCUUAUUCUAUCUGUUCUUAAUGAGUUUUAGAUAAUUUUAGUUGUAUUUCUUUGUAAUUUUGUGUUGUACAAAGAUUAAUUUAACAUUUUCUCUGGAAGUAUUAAUUUAGAAAGAUAAUAUGCUUCAUUGGUGUUGUGUUUUGAAGUGUGAAAUGUGAUAAAGUCAAGAUAAAGUUCACUUUUAAACUGAACUAAAUAAGGUAUCUGAGAGACAACAAUGGUUAAAUGCAAUACAAUGUACAGGUUUUACUAGCGAAAUGAAAAUUUUCCUGUCCUGUCUGCUGUAAUCAUUUUAUAUCUGGAAAACCAGCCGACUUAAUCGAUAAUAACAAUCUCCAGAUUGGGUUCCUUCAAUAAAUAUGGUCUAUAAACACAAUGAAAUAAGUUCCCCAAAAUCUAAAAUGGAGUGCUAUCAAAGGAGAAUUAAAGGAAAAAA